rnacentral:ncRNA from 2 species
AAUAUAUUAAAAUAAAUUGUUGAUAUAGUGUCGGAUAUUGGCCGACAGUUUCUACCCAACACCAACAUGUUGGACUAUCAUAAAUUGUGUGGUGCUA